CAGUCGCCGCGGUAACACAGAGGGUGCGAGCGUUAAUCGGAUUUACUGGGCGUAAAGCGUGCGUAGGCGGCUUCUUAAGUCGGAUGUGAAAUCCCUGAGCUUAACUUAGGAAUUGCAUUCGAUACUGGGAAGCUAGAGUAUGGGAGAGGAUGGUAGAAUUCCAGGUGUAGCGGUGAAAUGCGUAGAGAUCUGGAGGAAUACCGAUGGCGAAGGCAGCCAUCUGGCCUAAUACUGACGCUGAGGUACGAAAGCAUGGGGAGCAAACAGGAUUAGAGACCCCUGUAGUCCCUGUCUCUUAUAA
rnacentral:rRNA from 1 species